rnacentral:rRNA from 1 species
UACGUAGGGGGCAAGCGUUGUCCGGAAUCAUUGGGCGUAAAGAGCGUGUAGGCGGCUCGGUAAGUCCGCUGUGAAAGUCCAGGGCUCAACCCUGGAAUGCCGGUGGAAACUGUCGGGCUAGAGUGUGGUAGGGGAGACUGGAAUUCCUGGUGUAGCGGUGGAAUGCGCAGAUAUCAGGAGGAACACCGAUGGCGAAGGCAGGUCUCUGGGCCACUACUGACGCUGAGAAGCGAAAGCAUGGGGAGCGAACAGG